GCCAUAGCCUCCACGGCCAAUGGUCUUCAAGACCACAUACUGCGAGUGGAAGUUUUCUCGUUCUGGGGUCCUGGAUACAGAUCCAAGCUUGCAGCAUUUCCCUAAUGUGGAGCAGAAGCAUUUCUCCAGCGCAGAGGAAAUAGACCAAAUGCUUUUCUGACAAAGGAAACAAAAACGAAGGCAAAGAGCCUCGGAGUAGCCGGAACUAGGCUACAAAAGCAAAAAAAAAAAAAAAAAAAAAAAUCACAAUAAAUCUCUUGAUGCUUUCAAAACCAGCACAUCAAACUUCACUUUCAUUAGAACAUUGUUAUUUGUUUUUUUACCUAAUAAUUAAAAAA